CUGGGGGAGGCCUUCUUUCUGACCCCACUUUCCCAACUUCUUUCUGUGUAACUCUCGUGGACUUGACUGAUGGACAAAGCAUCACUACAAGUGAUGAUAUCAUAGGGAGUGAUGGCACUGGGAAGAGAGCCCUCAGAGGCUGGAGACACUGGUCUGUUUCGUAGGUGGGUGGGGUUCCUUCUGCUGGCAGUUUCUUUCCUACAAGUCCAAACAGCUGGGAAGGCAGGGCUGGAUAAGACCUGUGAGGUUCAGGGGGGGUGUCUUAUCUGUUCCUCACACAUGUCUGAUAAACCUCUUACCAGGGCCUGGCCCUGGAGAGCAGGUGUGGAGUAAGCUGGAAGAGGGGAAAAGGCCAGCUGGGGUUGGCUGAGUACCAGGGAAGACAGCUGGGUCAGGAAGUUCUGGCACCACCCAGGAAAGGGAAGUAAGGGUGUCUCUGUAAGGAGAGUGGAUUGGUGGUCAGAAGCCUGCUUCCCAGCAUUGGCGCCCCAGGUCCUUUACUACUGCCUGAGAGACUUGGAGCCCCGUGUCCUCAGGCUUCCUCUGUGCUGGUAGCAGUGACUGAAGCCUGGCAAUGUGUGGGAUUAAAGGAUUUGCUCAGUGGAAGAAUGGGAAAAGGGAGCCUGGUGUAUGGGGAUGGUGCAUGCUCCCUCCCACAUCAGGGAUCUUCUCCCAGAAUUUGCCCUGUGUACCCAGAAACAUACGGGGGCCCUAUCUGGGUUAACCAGAACCACCACCACCCCCAAGCCUCAAUUCACAGCUACAUCUUCCCAGUCUGUACAUAUCCCCAAACUCUAGGAAUCCUAACCUUCCUGGGAUAUUUGCUUCCAACAAAUUCCACAGACACCUUGGAGCCCUGAUGCCCUCUGGUGACAAAAGGCACACAUGGCAGUUAUAGUGACUUCUCGGGUCACACUGGGUCAGACAAUCUACUGUCAUUUGCCAGGUUAUUUCCUGUCUUCCUCACAUCAAAUUUUAUAAGUUUAUAAUGUCAGACAGACUGCCAGAUCCGGACAGUGACCCAAAGUCUCCAAAGAAGAUUACGAGGCACCUCAGUUCCUGCACCUGGACCAGUGAGCGAGAUGCUCAGAUGUGAUACCUGCCGCCUGCCAGAACCUGGCCGAGACUGUGGACAAAGCUGCUGGACACUGGAAAAUUGAUUGCACCCCUUUGCCUAGACAAAACAAGGUCAGUCUUUUCCAUGUCCCUCUUCCACAGAGAGAAAAAAAACUCUCACAGUAUAGGCCUGGCGAAGAUUGCUGGUCUUUGAGACAGCUGCCUCCAACGGUAAUGGAGAAACUUGGGUUUGGCUAACUGUAUAUAGACUGGCUUCUGUCACUUUUCAGUAGAUUCGGAUAAAGUAUACCCUUCUCAGAUCUCUGAAAUAUUACUGGUUGUCAGCUUGACAGCAUCAGUCAGUCAGAUCCACUAUAGACUAGUCAGUAUGUUAGCUGAUAAAAUAGUAACUAUCUACUGUUCAGGCACGAGCUCAAAGUUUUUAAGUUUAUUUUGGUUGUCAUCUAAGUACAAACUUAAAGGGCUUUUCAUCAGGCCAAAGGCACCUCUGUCCAAUCCAUACCUGGCUCUCUAGACAGAAGAAAAAUGUACAUGCUUAUAGCCCAAAUCUGCAGUUUUUGCUAGGACUCAAAGUUAUAAAUAUGUUCCUGCUGUUUAAACAGAUAUCUGCUUUUUCUGCACUGCGGGCUUCAGUAAAUAAGUUUUAACCUCUGUUCCUAGUUUAAACAUGUCUUAAACAGGUUUCUGCUUCUGGCUGACAUCUGAGUAUCAGUUGCUGACUACAGGCUGUUCUAAGUAGACUGCGAGCCCUAGACUUGCUGUGGAUGUGAACCAGUCCAGCUGAUAUGGACACCCCCUAUCUCUGCAACAAUGUCUGCUAACCAGAAGCCCCUGAUGAAUUCCCCAUUGCCUAAAUUCCUUUUUGCUUUUGACUAGCAUUUCAACCUUCUGGGGUCCCUAACUUCGUCCCAAAGUCAGCAGGAAGCAGUUUGGAAAAGAAUUUCGCCGUCCAUUUUCCCUGGUUAAAAUGCUAAGUCAAAAGGAACUCCCUUACAUGGGGAUGACAGUAUCUAUCACUCCCUGAUGGGGAUGCUAGAGAGACAGCAAUUCCAUGAUUGGAAUUUCCAGAAAAGAAAAUGGGGGAAUGAAGGAACCGGCUUCCCUUUUGGCAGCCAUAAUGGUUGAACAUGUGCUUCUAUGACCUUGUCCUAGAAACCAGAAAGUCAGAUGCCUGUCUUGUGACAAGGAACCAAUCAGAAGUUAGCUGGUGGUGCUAUGCUUUAUGGCUCUGGGUGUGCUUUACGGACAAGCGCACAGCAAUGACGUAGAGAGCAUAGCAACCACCCUGGGAGGGCCUAU
rnacentral:lncRNA from 1 species